UACGUAGGGCGCGAGCGUUGUCCGGAUUUAUUGGGCGUAAAGAGCUCGUAGGCGGCUUGUUGCGUCAGCUGUGAAAACCCGCAGCUCAACUGUGGGCUUGCAGCUGAUACGGGCAGGCUUGAGUUCGGUAGGGGAGACUGGAAUUCCUGGUGUAGCGGUGAAAUGCGCAGAUAUCAGGAGGAACACUGGUGGCGAAGGCGGGUCUCUGGGCCGAUACUGACGCUGAGGAGCGAAAGCGUGGGGAGCGAACAGG
rnacentral:rRNA from 1 species